AUGCAUAAAUUCUGACACAAUUUGAGCCUGCAACAGCAAGAAAGUCAACCUAUGCCAGUGUUCUCUUCCCCAUGAGGCAAGCUGUUCAUAGGCUCAAAGAAU
rnacentral:snoRNA from 1 species